GAUGAACGCUGGCGGCGUGCCUAAUACAUGCAAGUCGAGCGAACAGAUGAGGAGCUUGCUCCUUUGACGUUAGCGGCGGACGGGUGAGUAACACGUGGAUAACCUACCUAUAAGACUGGGAUAACUUCGGGAAACCGGAGCUAAUACCGGAUAACAUAUUGAACCGCAUGGUUCAAUAGUGAAAGGCGGCUUUGCUGUCACUUAUAGAUGGAUCCGCGCCGUAUUAGCUAGUUGGUAAGGUAACGGCUUACCAAGGCAACGAUACGUAGCCGACCUGAGAGGGUGAUCGGCCACACUGGAACUGAGACACGGUCCAGACUCCUACGGGAGGCAGCAGUAGGGAAUCUUCCGCAAUGGGCGAAAGCCUGACGGAGCAACGCCGCGUGAGUGAUGAAGGUCUUCGGAUCGUAAAACUCUGUUAUCAGGGAAGAACAAAUGUGUGAGUAACUGUGCACAUCUUGACGGUACCUGAUCAGAAAGCCACGGCUAACUACGUGCCAGCCGCCGCCGUAA
rnacentral:rRNA from 1 species